rnacentral:rRNA from 1 species
CAUGCGAGGCGUGAGACUCAAGGUCUCGCCGAACUGCUCAGUAACACGUAGUCAACCUACUCUUAGAUGGAGGAUAAUCCCGCGAAAGUGGGGCUAAUACUCCAUAGUUGCCAGAUGCUGGAAUGCACUGGCAAUGAAAGCUCCGGCGUCUAAGAAUGGGACUGCGGCCUAUCAGGUUGUAGUGAGUGUAAAGUACUCACUAGCCUAUAACGGGUAGGGGACAUGAGAGUGUGAGCCUCGAGAUGCCUUCUGAGACAUGAAGGCAGGUCCUACGGGACGCAGCAGGCGCGAAAACUUUACAAUGCCGGCAACGGCGAUAAGGGGACCUCGAGUGCCAGGUUACAAAUCUGGCUGUCGUGAUGCCUAAAAAGCAUUGCAUAGCAAGGGCCGGGCAAGACCGGUGCCAGCCGCCGCGGUAACACCGGCGGCUCGAGUGGUAACCGUUAUUAUUGGGUCUAAAGGGUCUGUAGCCGGCCGGAUAAGUCUCUUGAGAAAUCCAGCAGCUCAACUGUUGGGCUUUCAGGAGAUACUGUCUGGCUCGAGGCCGGGAGAGGUGAGAGGUACUUCAGGGGUAGUGGUGAAAUCUUGUAAUCCUUGAAGGACCACCAGUGGCGAAGGCGUCUCACCAGAACGGACCUGACGGCAAGGGACGAAAGCUAGGGGCACGAACCGGAUUAGAUACCCGGGUAGUCCUAGCCGUAAACGAUACUCGCUAGGUGUCGGCCACGGUGCGACCGUUGUCGGUGCCGUAGGGAAGCCGUGAAGCGAGCCACCUGGGAAGUACGGCCGCA